GUGUCCUUGUUCUAGGGCCUGGGGAACAGACACGGGGAGGGGGGUGGAGGGCAGCCCGAGCGUCGCAAGGGAGUGGAAGGGAGACCAUCUGAAGCAGGCCCAGGCCAUGCAUCUGCUGAGCCCCUCCUGUGUGCCUAGGGGUGGGCUUCAAGAGUGGGGCGAGGGGGGCAGGAGUGGAAGGAGGGAAGGAUGGGGGCUGAGCUGGCAGGAAUGGCAGGAGUGAAGGUGGGAACCAGGCCUGUGGGCAGAAAGGGCUCAUGAGUCAAGGAGCAAGAGGAGGAUGAAGGCAGGUGUCCAGCCAGCUGAUAGCCAGCCAACCUUGGGCCUAGGACAAUCAUCUCUGCUCCGACAGCAGGGAGGGAACUCACCAUCAAGCCAGGUGGCCCCCGAGGGCCCUGGAUGCCUUUGAAACCGAUGUCUCCAGGCGGGCCCUGUGGGAGGCAGAGAAAGGGCUGUCUGUACUUGGCAGCCACUGGGUAAAGGGCCCCCACAGCUCCCUCACCUCUGGGGUCUGUCAACCUUUGCCCUUCCUGUCAAGAGAGGUCUUACCUGAGAGGCCCCAGAAGGAGUAGGAAACACCUACAAUUAUUCAGCAGGUACUAGCAGUGUGUUGGCUCAGUGCUGUGUGGCAUAUGCCUCUGGUCUUUAUUUUUGCAACAGUCAUCUACUGUCACUGCUCCCAUUUUACAGAUGAGGAAACCAAGGCUUAGAGAGACUAAGUGACUUUGCAAGGCACAGAGCAGGUAAUUGUGUAGCUGGGCUUGGAACCUAGAUCUGCUGGAGUACUGGGGGAUGAGGGUGUUCAUGCCUGAUUCUGGCUGUUUUCCAGCCAAUGUUUUCAGUGCUCCAUAAAUAUUUGUUGAAUGAAUAAAUGAAUGAAUAGGGUGAACGGAUGGGACCCCACAGGAACAGCGAGCAGUGGGAGUCUGUACCUUGGGUCCGAAGAGACCUGCCAUUCCUGGGAAGCCCAUCUCACCAGAGUCGCCCUGCGAGGAGAACAGGAAGUGAUGGAGUGAGGUCAUGGCCAGCAUGUCCCACCAGCCACCCAGGACCUCAGGGCCUGCCUUUUCCUUCCCAGCCUCUCCAGGGAUAUCGGUGACUCCUCUGUAAGGCGAUCAAGAUAAUACGUCAUCUCCCUCCCAAGGGGCUGGAAGGAUGCAAUGAGACCAGGCAGGUCAAGACCCAGUGCUGAUGGAGGUAGGCUGAGGGGUCAGGCUUCGGGAGGGUCCCAUUUAAUCUAAAUUCUACCUGUUCAUUUUUAAAAGAUAAUAGCUUUGUUGAGCUAUUGGUGGUUCUCUUGGUGGUUCUCUUGGUGGUUUUGAUUUGUCUUAUCAAUGCUUAUUGGAUAUUUGUGUAUCUCCUUUGGAAAAAAUGUCUACUUGAAUACUUUGUCCAUUUUAAAUUUGGAUUGUCUUUUUAUUCUUGAGUUGUAAGGGUUCUUUAUAUAUUAGAGAUACAUGUUCCUUAUCAGAGAUAUGAUUUGUAAAUACCUUCUCCCCUACUGUGAGUUUUUUCACUUUCUUGAUGGUGCCUUUUGAAGCACAAAAGUGUUUGAUUUUGAUGAAGUCCAAUCUAUGUACUUUGCUUUUGUUGGUGUCAUAUCUAAGAAACUAUUACCUAAUACAAGGUUAUAAAAG